UAGUCCACGCCGUAAACGAUGGAUACUCGGUGUUGGCCCGUAUGGGUCGGUGCCUAAGCUAACGCAGUAAGUAUCCCACCUGGGAAGUACGAUCGCAAGGUUGAAACUCAAAGGAAUUGACGGGGGCCCGCACAAGCAGUGGAGCAUGUGGUUUAAUUCGAUGCAACGCGAAGAACCUUACCUGGGCUCGAAAGACUAGAUUAUCCUUCGGUGAAAGUCGGAGGCGCUUCGGCAAUCUAGACAGGUGCUGCAUGGCUGUCGUCAGCUCGUGCCGUGAGGUGUUGGGUUAAGUCCCGCAACGAGCGCAACCCUUAUCCUUAGUUGCCAUCAGGUAAUGCUGGGAACUCUAAGGAGACUGCCUACGCAAGUAGUGAGGAAGGUGGGGAUGACGUCAAGUCCUCAUGGCCCUUACGCCCAGGGCUACACACGUGCUACAAUGGUAACUACAGAGGGUAGCAAUACCGCGAGGUGGAGCUAAUCUCAAAAAGUUAUCUCAGUCCGGAUCG
rnacentral:rRNA from 1 species